UUGGGGGGGUGCCUAAUACAUGCAAGUCGAGCGGACAGAAGGGAGCUUGCUCCCGGAUGUUAGCGGCGGACGGGUGAGUAACACGUGGGUAACCUGCCUGUAAGACUGGGAUAACUCCGGGAAACCGGAGCUAAUACCGGAUAGUUCCUUGAACCGCAUGGUUCAAGGAUGAAAGACGGUUUCGGCUGUCACUUACAGAUGGACCCGCGGCGCAUUAGCUAGUUGGUGAGGUAACGGCUCACCAAGGCGACGAUGCGUACCCGACCUGAGAGGGUGAUCGGCCACACUGGGACUGAGACACGGUCCAGACUCCUACGGGA
rnacentral:rRNA from 1 species